rnacentral:rRNA from 1 species
UAGGGAAUCUUCCGCAAUGGACGCAAGUCUGACGGAGCAACGCCGCGUGAGUGAAGAAGGAUUUCGGUUCGUAAAACUCUGUUGUUAGAGAAGAACAGCGCAUAGAGUAACUGUUAUGCGUGUGACGGUAUCUAACCAGAAAGCCACGGCUAACUACGUGCCAGCAGCCGCGGUAAUACGUAGGUGGCAAGCGUUGUCCGGAUUUAUUGGGCGUAAAGCGAGCGCAGGCGGUCAAUUAAGUCUGAUGUGAAAGCCCACGGCUCAACCGUGGAGGGUCAUUGGAAACUGGAAAACUUGAGUGCAGAAGAGGAAAGUGGAAUUCCAUGUGUAGCGGUGAAAUGCGCAGAGAUAUGGAGGAACACCAGUGGCGAAGGCGACUUUCUGGUCUGUAACUGACGCUGAUGUGCGAAAGCGUGGGGAUCAAACAGG